ACUUAAAUAGUUUAAAAAAAAUAUUGAUUUGUGGAGUCAAUGAUGAAUAUAAAUUCUUUAGGUC
rnacentral:tRNA from 1 species